rnacentral:rRNA from 1 species
GAUGAACGCUGGCGGCGUGCCUAAUACAUGCAAGUCGAGCGAACGGACGAGAAGCUUGCUUCUCUGAUGUUAGCGGCGGACGGGUGAGUAACACGUGGAUAACCUACCUAUAAGACUGGGAUAACUUCGGGAAACCGUAGCUAGUACCGGAUAAUAUUUUGAACCGCAUGGUUCAAAAGUGAAAGACGGUCUUGCUGUCACUUAUAGAUGGAUCCGCGCUGCAUUAGCUAGUUGGUAAGGUAACGGCUUACCAAGGCAACGAUGCAUAGCCGACCUGAGAGGGUGAUCGGCCACACUGGAACGGAGACACGGUCCCGACUCCUACGGGAGGCAGCAGUAGGGAAUCUUCCGCAAUGGGCGAAAGCCUGACGGAGCAACGCCGCGUGAGUGAUGAAGGUCUUCGGAUCGUAAAACUCUGUUAUUAGGGAAGAACAUAUGUGUAAGUAACUGUGCACAUCUUGACGGUACCUAAUCAGAAAGCCACGGCUAACUACGUG